GGGACCUUCACUGGGAGGGGGGAGGGGCAACAUGGAGACUGUGCAUGAGAUAACCUGAUAUGCGCUGGGGGAUAACAUGGGGGCUAGGGGGAGUUGGCCUCUCCAGUAUAUAAAUUUUUAAACACUUUACUUGCAAACACGAUCAAAUUCAAAGGUAUAUUACGUCACUCUGUUGAACACGAUUUUUCAUAUUUAACUUUAUGACGUCACUCAGUUGAAUAUUAUGUCUAAACCGGAGUGUUAUACUAUAGGAUAAUAUCGUAUGAUUUAUUGAAACAGAGUAAUAACAUUUAUUUUCAUACAGUCAGUACUGUACAGUGCAGUAGUCCAUAGUUAGUACACAACUAUAUCGUGGUACUAUCCGUCUUACUGAAGUAAACUGUGAGCAUUAAAUACAUAAUACAUCAUUCUAUACAUAGCUAAGUAUUCGUUAACACGAUUCAUGUGACGAUGCGUUUUUGAUCCACACAUUCGUUGUCUUCACAAAUCAUUCCUGGACAUGAAGUGUUACAUUCUUGGUCGAAAGUGCAACUUUUCUUGAACGUAUUGGGACACUGUA